rnacentral:rRNA from 1 species
UACAGAGGGGGCAAGCGUUGUUCGGAAUUACUGGGCGUAAAGGGCGCGUAGGCGGCCUGCUAAGUCGAACGUGAAAUCCCUGGGCUCAACCCAGGAACUGCGUCCGAUACUGGUUGGCUUGAAUCCGGGAGAGGGAUGCGGAAUUCCAGGUGUAGAGGUGAAAUUCGUAGAUAUCGGGAGGAACACCAGUGGCGAAGGCGGAGACCUGGGCCGAUACUGACGCUGAGGUGCGAAAGCGUGGGGAGCAAACAGG